rnacentral:lncRNA from 1 species
GCGGGCGACGAGCUCCGGCGAGGAAUUGGGCGGCAUGGGCGCGAGGAUUCGGGCGAGCAAGAGAGGGGAAGGAGAGAUGGGCGUGCUGGCUUUAUAGGGACGCGGGCGGUGAGACGCGGGAGGCACGGGAGGCGGAGUUCUCGGUGGAGACGGCGCGCGGCGGUGAAGAAGGAAGGCGGCGACGUUCACGGGCGCUUUCCAAACGAGGAAGAAGAGCCUGACAGGUGGGCCCCACCUGUCAGCGCCUCAGCGCGCGCGCACGGAGAGGACCGGGCCGGUUAGGCCGUCUCGCGUGCGGUCAGGCGCAGUAGGUUCCGGGCCGGUUCGGCCCAAGCGGUCGGACAGGUCCGGUUUUCUUUUUCUUUUCUUUUUUCUUUUCUUUUUCCCUUUUUCUCAUUUCUUUGAUAAAUUUUGAUUUUGAACUCCAAAUUGGUCCAAAUAAAUGCCAGAAAAUUUGUAAAAUCAUGUUUCAUCAUGAUUCAACUUUUGGGAGAGAUUUCCCCUCAAAAUAAAAUAUAUAAAAAUACAUUUGCCCUAUAAAUGCCUUUAGGGCUAUAUAACUAUUCAAAUAAAAUACUUUUUCAACUCCAAAUAAUUUUCCAAAAAUUAUGGGAUAGCUUAUUUAUGCAAUAAACCCCUUUUAUAAAUAAACGCUAUUGGUUUGAAGAUCCAGAGCUCAAAUGGGUGCAAACCCUAGGGUUUAAAUUGAAAUCGAAGUCUUUUAAAGCCUUUUGACAUUCAAAUUUGAAUGCAAAUAUGCAAUUGUGGCAUGAUGCUCAUGGAUGCAAUGCAGAUGUAAAAGUUUGAAAUUUUGGGAUGUUACAACCACUAGUUGCCAUGAAUGAAGAUAAGUGUUGUUUCCUGAAUUUCAAGUUGCCUCGAUUAUUUGUAUGUUUCUCCUCCUUCUGUCUCCUGCCA